AGGGAAUCUUCGGCAAUGGACGAAAGUCUGACCGAGCAACGCCGCGUGAGUGAAGAAGGUUUUCGGAUCGUAAAACUCUGUUGUUAGAGAAGAACGUUGCAUAGAGCGGAAAAUUAUGCAAGUGACGGUAUCUAACCAGAAAGGGACGGCUAACUACGUGCCAGCAGCCGCGGUAAUACGUAGGUCCCGAGCGUUGUCCGGAUUUAUUAGGCGUAAAGCGAGCGCAGGUGGUUUAAUAAGUCUGAUGUAAAAGGCAGUGGCUCAACCAUUGUGUGCAUUGGAAACUGUUAGACUUGAGUGCAGUAGAGGAGAGUGGAAUUCCAUGUGUAGCGGUGAAAUGCGUAGAUAUAUGGAGGAACACCGGUGGCGAAAGCGGCUCUCCGGACUGUCACUGACACUGAGGCUCGAAAGCGUGGGUAGCAAACAGGAUUAGAUACCCUGGUAGUCCACGCCGUAAACGAUGAGUGCUAGUUGUUUGGGGCUAUCCAGCCCUAAGUGACGCA
rnacentral:rRNA from 1 species